rnacentral:rRNA from 1 species
UACGGAGGGUGCAAGCGUUAAUCGGAAUUACUGGGCGUAAAGCGCGCGUAGGCUGCUGCGUAAGCCAGAUGUGAAAUCCCCGGGCUCAACCUGGGAAUUGCAUUUGGAACUGCGUAGCUAGAGUGCAGAAGAGGGGUGUGGAAUUCCAGGUGUAGCGGUGAAAUGCGUAGAGAUCUGGAGGAACAUCAGUGGCGAAGGCGACACCCUGGUCUGACACUGACGCUGAGGUGCGAAAGCGUGGGUAGCAAACAGG